GUGGACUACCGGAGCAGGGAAGCACGCGUAAUGAGCUAAGUAUUAGCGGCAAUUUUGAACCACAUGCGCACAGGGUGGACUGGUUGGUCAAACGGCGUUUUGCGCAACGAGAACGGAUACUGAACGGUUGGAAAGACGUUCGGAGAGAAAAAGAUGGGAAAUAUGACCAUAACUGACCACUGGAAGAGAGGGAGGCGAAAUGGAGCUGUCUGCUUUAUCCUGCAAUAAAAUCCACUAUAAGGUGAGAAGAGAUGGGAGAUGGGGUCACAGAAGAGAUGGAUUGCGCACUGUGCCGAGAGUAAAGGUGAGGAUCAUCACUGAAUGACGACUUCAAUCCAUGUACAGAUUUGUCCCGGAUCCGAGGGACACUUCUUCAGCUAUGUCUUGAUGCAUGGAUUGUCUUCAUGAAGAGUUUUCUGGAUUAUGUGUACUCGUUUUUUGAGUGCAAACCAUAUUCCAUAGCAGCUGGAACUGGAAUUAAUCCAUAAUGGCAUCUGGAUUGACACAAGAUACAUGACUUGAAUGUUGUA